rnacentral:rRNA from 1 species
AUACGGAGGGUGCAAGCGUUAAUCGGAAUUACUGGGCGUAAAGCGUACGUAGGCGGUUAUUUAAGUCAGAUGUGAAAGCCCCGGGCUUAACUUGGGAACUGCAUUUGAAACUGGGUAACUAGAGUUUAGUAGAGGGGAGUGGAAUUUCAGGUGUAGCGGUGAAAUGCGUAGAGAUCUGAAGGAACACCAGUGGCGAAGGCGACUCCCUGGACUAAAACUGACGCUGAGGUACGAAAGCGUGGGUAGCAAACAGGAGUAGAAACCCCAGUAGUCC